rnacentral:rRNA from 1 species
GAUGAACGCUGGCGGCGUGCCUAAUACAUGCAAGUCGAGCGAACAGACGAGGAGCUUGCUCCUCUGACGUUAGCGGCGGACGGGUGAGUAACACGUGGAUAACCUACCUAUAAGACUGGGAUAACUUCGGGAAACCGGAGCUAAUACCGGAUAAUAUAUUGAACCGCAUGGUUCAAUAGUGAAAGACGGUUUUGCUGUCACUUAUAGAUGGAUCCGCGCCGCAUUAGCUAGUUGGUAAGGUAACGGCUUACCAAGGCAACGAUGCGUAGCCGACCUGAGAGGGGGAUCGGCCACACUGGAACUGAGACACGGUCCAGACUCCUACGGGAGGCAGCAGUAGGGAAUCUUCCGCAAUAGGCGAAAGCUUGACGGAGCAACGCCGCGUGAGUGAUGAAGGUCUUCGGAUCGUAAAACUCUGUUAUUAGGGAAGAACAAAUGUGUAAGUAACUAUGCACGUCUUGACGGUACCUAAUCAGAAAGCCACGGCUAACUACGU